GUGGACGCCAGUCUGCGUGGAGCCGACCUUGAAAUACCACCCUUUAAUGUUUGAUGUUCUAACGUGGACCCGUUACCCGGGUUGCGGACAGUGUCUGGUGGGUAGUUUGACUGGGGCGGUCUCCUCCUAAAGAGUAACGGAGGAGCACGAAGGUUGGCUAAUCCUGGUCGGACAUCAGGAGGUUAGUGCAAUGGCAUAAGCCAGCUUGACUGCGAGCGUGACGGCGCGAGCAGGUGCGAAAGCAGGUCAUAGUGAUCCGGUGGUUCUGAAUGGAAGGGCCAUCGCUCAACGGAUAAAAGGUACUCCGGGGAUAACAGGCUGAUACCGCCCAAGAGUUCAUAUCGACGGCGGUGUUUGGCACCUCGAUGUCGGCUCAUCACAUCCUGGGGCUGAAGUAGGUCCCAAGGGUAUGGCUGUUCGCCAUUUAAAGUGGUACGCGAGCUGGGUUUAGAACGUCGUGAGACAGUUCGGUCCCUAUCUGCCGUGGGCGCUGGAGAACUGAGGGGGGCUGCUCCUAGUACGAGAGGACCGGAGUGGACGCAUCACUGGUGUUCGGGUUGUCAUGCCAAUGGCACUGCCCGGUAGCUAAAUGCGGAAGAGAUAAGUGCUGAAAGCAUCUAAGCACGAAACUUGCCCCGA
rnacentral:rRNA from 12 species